GGCUACACUUACUUAGGACAUUAGGAUGCCAUUCUCGGAUAAUUUAUAAAAAAUAUUGCAGAUUAUUUGUGGAGAAAAAUAUGUACAUGUUCACAUGUGACAUGCCCCACAAAAGAGUGAAGAGUUUUACCUGGUUAUUCUUCACUACAAAUUAAUGUUGUGAAGUUCACCUGAGGAAGAAAGAAACAAUCCCUUCUGAAUGACACACCAGCAGAAAUCUCUGAUAUUUUCAAAUGCAAUCAACUUUUUCUUCUUCAACAGAUUUCUCCUGAGCUGAGAGAAAGAAGAAAUGGGAUAGACUCAAUAGAAGGAAUAGAUUCUCUUACUACCUUUUGAGUGAUUUUCCAAAGGCCUUGGUGGAGCAGCAGCUUUCACCUGGGGCAGUGUGGGUGCCAGCUUCUUUUGCAGCUGGUGGAAAGCUCCUCAUCCUCAGAACCAGAGUAAUGUCCUGCCUGUGCAAAUUGACCGGGUGGUUUUGGUUUACUGCUAUUCCAAAGAGAACAGAGGAGUCACACACACAAAAGAACGAGCCAAUCUGAAUUUUGUCUGGGCUUCCUGCAGGUUUUGUGCAGUUUUUCCAGUUGCAAAAUUCUAGUCUGGAAUCUUGAAGCAGUGGGAGCUGUAUCUUGAAUCUUGGAGCUGUCUUAAUAAUGUUUCCAAAAGAAGGAAAUGGAAAGCAAGUUGUUGUGGUUUAACAUGGAGUUGAAAACUUGCAUGUGUAUUUAAUGGAGUCUCUGGAUGUGCUGGCUGUGAGUGAGAACAGGCUGAGUCACACAGAUGUGCACUUCAGAAAAGACUCUGAGGCUCCUCCUGGCCAGAUUAACUCCCAAGGUCUGAUUUAAUACUGAAACCAUCUCCUGCCCCUUUGAUGUGGGUUAAGCUCUUUUCAUCAUGCCUGUUUAGGAGCUGUUUAUUUUUCACUUAACCUUUCCCUUUGCAUUUGUUUAAUUAAAAGAUUUCUCGAGAAGUCACAUCACCACAGAGCCACGUUCCACUGCCUUUGUCAAGAUUAUAUAGAAGUGCUUCUCUAAUAAUUGUCCUGGGAUUUAGGAGAAUUCUGCAAACAGGUCACCUCCUGCCUCCAAGUCUGUUUCCCA